ACGCUAGCGGCAGGCCUAAUACAUGCAAGUCGGACGGGAUUCAGGGAGUAGCUUGCUACGAACUGAUGAGAGUGGCGCACGGGUGCGUAACGCGUGAGCAACCUACCCAUAUCAGGGGGAUAGCCUCUCGAAAGAGAGAUUAACACCGCAUAACAUCAUUUACCGGCAUCGGUUAAUGAUCAAAUAUUUAUAGGAUAUGGAUGGGCUCGCGUGACAUUAGCUAGUUGGAGGGGUAACGGCCCACCAAGGCUACGAUGUCUAGGGGCUCUGAGAGGAGAAUCCCCCACACUGGUACUGAGACACGGACCAGACUCCUACGGGAGGCAGCAGUAAGGAAUAUUGGUCAAUGGAGGGAACUCUGAACCAGCCAUGCCGCGUGCAGGAUGACUGCCCUAUGGGUUGUAAACUGCUUUUGUCAGGGAAUAAACCUUUCUACGUGUGGGAAGCUGAAUGUACCUGAAGAAUAAGGAUCGGCUAACUCCGUGCCAGCAGCCGCGGUAAUACGGAGGAUCCAAGCGUUAUCCGGAUUUAUUGGGUUUAAAGGGUGCGUAGGCGGUCCUAUAAGUCAGUGGUGAAAGACGGCAGCUUAACUGUCGCAGUGCCUUUGAUACUGUAGGACUUGAAUCUAUUUGAAGUGGGCGGAAUAAGACAAGUAGCGGUGAAAUGCAUAGAUAUGUCUUAGAACUCCGAUUGCGAAGGCAGCUCACUAAGUUAGUAUUGACGCUGAUGCACGAAAGCGUGGGGAUCAAAC
rnacentral:rRNA from 1 species